GAGACCUGACAGGGUCCAACAGAGAAAUGGAGAUGGGCUCAGAGCCUCUUUCCAGGCCCGCCAGUCUCUGGUGCAACAGAUGAUAUCCGGGAAGAGGCGGAGCCAGGUGUGACAGUUCUGAGGGCCAAAGACAGCGGUUGGGUUAAUCAAUUGUUCUUUGGAGCAGCUUGGACACCUUUAGAGGGUGGGCUCUAUAGGUGAAAGAACGGCAGGCGGACUGAUCAGAAGUUCGCCCAGGACUUCUGGCCCGGGAUGUGCAGAACUACAGGAUGCGGAGACGAUUGACAGCAGGCCUGACAGGUCUUGCUCUGUUGCCCAUGUUGGAGUGCAGUGGCGCCAUCAUUGCUCACUGCUCACUGCAGCCUUGACCUCCCAGGGCUUAAGCGAUCCUCCCAUCUCAGCCUCCCAAGUAGGUAGGAUAAGCUCACACCACCAUGCUCAUCUAAUUUUUUUUUUUUUUUUUCUGUAGAGACGAGGUUUUGCCAUGUUGCCCAUGGCUGGUCUUGAACUUCUGGACUCAAGCAAUCUGCCUGCUUCAGCUACCCAAAGGGCUAGGGUGCUGGGAAUAGAGGUGUGAGCCAUCAUGCUCAGCUUUUUUUUUUUUUUUUAGACAGGGUCUCAUUCUGUCACCCUGGCUGGAGUGCAGUGAUGCAAUCAUAGCUCACUGCAGCUUCGACCUCCUGGGCUCAAGUGAUCCUCCCCCCUUGGCCUCCUAAGUAGCUAGGACUACAGGCUAAUUUUUUAAUUAAAAAAAUUAUAAAUGAAUGUUAAGAUUUGUCAGAUGCUUUUUCUGUGUCUUUCUUGGCAACCACAAGAGUUUUCUCUUUUAAUCUGUAAAUAUGGUAAAUUGGCCAGGCAAGGUGGCUUAUGCCUGUAAUCCCAGCAUUUUGGGAGGCUGAGGCAGGUGGAUCACUUGAGACCAGGAGUUCGAGACCAGCCUGGGCAACAUGGUGAAACCCCCGCUCUACUAAAAAUACAAAAAAUUAGCCAGGUGUGGUGGUGCAUGCCUGUAGUCCCAGCUACUUGGAAGGCAGGCGAAUCGCUUGAACCUGGGAGGCAGAGAUUGCAGUGAGCUGAGAUCAUGCCACUGCACUCCAGCCUGGGCAACAGAGCGAGACUCUGUCUCAAAAAAAAAAAAAAGUAAAUUACAUUAUUUAAUUUUCCAAUAUUAAACUAACAUUGUAUUCCAGGGAUAAACCCAACUUGUUUAUUGUUUAUAAUAUAUUAACCUUUUUAUGUAUUACUAGUAUUUCAUUUAGGAUUUUUGCAUCUGUGUUUAUGAAGGAGAUAAACCUGAAAAUUUCCUUUAUUUAAAAAAAUUUUAUUAUUACUUUUAUUUUUUAGAGACAGGGUCUCAUUCUAUUGCCCAGGCUAAAGUGCAGUGAUGCGAUCACAGCUUACUGCAACCUUGAAUUCCUGGGCUUAAGUGAUCCUCCUACCUCAGCCUCCCCAGUAGCUGGAGCUACAGGUGCAUGCCACCGCAUCUGGCUAAAUUUUUAUUUAUUUACAGGCAGAGUCUCAGCAUAUUGCCCAGGCUGGUCUCAAAUUCCUGGCCUCAAGUGAUCCUUGUUUGUUAUGCUAUCUUUUAUGGGUUGAAUUGUGUUCCCCGCCAAAAAGAUGUUGAAGUCCUAACCCCUAGUAGCUCAGAAUAUGAUCUUAUGUAAAGUUUGGAAAUAAGGUUGUUGCAGAUGUAAUUAGUUAAGAUGAUGUCCUUAUAAGAAGAUGGCCAUGUGAAGACAGAAACAUACUGGGAGAAUGCCACGUGGCCACGGAGGCAGAGAUUGGAGUUUUGCAGCUGCAAGCCAAGGAACGCCAAAAGUUGCUGGCAAACCACCAGAACCUAGGAGAGGAGAGGAAGGAUUCACCGACAGGUUUCAGAGGGAGCACGGCCCUGCAGACAUCUUGACUUCAGACUUCCAGCUUCCAGAACUGUGAGAGAAUAAAUUUUUGUUGUUGUAAGCCACUCAGUUGGUGGUAGUCUAUAAUGGCACUUCUAUGGAUCUAAUACACUAUCCUCUU